GACGAACGCUGGCGGCGUGCCUAAUACAUGCAAGUAGAACGCUGAAGAGAGGAGCUUGCUCUUCUUGGAUGAGUUGCGAACGGGUGAGUAACGCGUAGGUAACCUGCCUGGUAGCGGGGGAUAACUAUUGGAAACGAUAGCUAAUACCGCAUGAUAUUAAUUGUCGCAUGAUAAUUAAUUGAAAGAUGCAAUUGCAUCACUACCAGAUGGACCUGCGUUGUAUUAGCUAGUUGGUGAGGUAACGGCUCACCAAGGCGACGAUACAUAGCCGACCUGAGAGGGUGAUCGGCCACACUGGGACUGAGACACGGCCCAGACUCCUACGGGAGGCAGCAGUAGGGAAUCUUCGGCAAUGGGGGGAACCCUGACCGAGCAACGCCGCGUGAGUGAAGAAGGUUUUCGGAUCGUAAAGCU
rnacentral:rRNA from 1 species